UGGGGAAUAUUGCACAAUGGGGGAAACCCUGAUGCAGCAACGCCGCGUGAGUGAUGAAGGUUUUCGGAUCGUAAAGCUCUGUCUUUGGGGAAGAUAAUGACGGUACCCAAGGAGGAAGCCACGGCUAACUACGUGCCAGCAGCCGCGGUAAUACGUAGGUGGCGAGCGUUAUCCGGAUUUACUGGGCGUAAAGGGAGCGUAGGCGGAUGAUUAAGUGGGAUGUGAAAUACCCGGGCUCAACUUGGGUGCUGCAUUCCAAACUGGUUAUCUAGAGUGCAGGAGAGGAGAGUGGAAUUCCUAGUGUAGCGGUGAAAUGCGUAGAGAUUAGGAAGAACACCAGUGGCGAAGGCGACUCUCUGGACUGUAACUGACGCUGAGGCUCGAAAGCGUGGGGAGCAAACAGG
rnacentral:rRNA from 4 species